rnacentral:rRNA from 1 species
GACGAACGCUGGCGGCGUGCCUAAUACAUGCAAGUCGAACGCAGUGGGGACGGGUGAGUAAAACGUGGGUAACCUCCCAUCAGAGGGGAUAACACGUGGAAACAGGUGCUAAACCGAUACUGAUGGAUGGACCCGGGGGGGAUUAGCUAGUUGGUGAGGUAACGGCUCACCAAGGCAACGAUCCAUAGCCGUCCUGAGAGUGUGACCGGCCACACUGGAACUGAGACACGGCCCAGACUCCGACGGGAGGCAGCAGUAGGGAAUAUUCGGCAAUGGGCGAAAGUCUGACCGAGCAACGCCGCGUGUGUGAAGAAGGUUUUCGGAUCGUAAAGCUCUGUCGGUAGAGAGGCGGUAUCUAACCAGAAAGCCACGGCUAACUACGUGCCAGCAGCCGCGGUAAUAC